UCAGGGUUCUAAAAUGAAUCGGUAAUAAAAUCGUAAACCAGAUCAACAUUGGAAAUAAUUUAAAAAAUUUGCUUUGGUCCGAUUGAAAAAAGUACUAUACUACCAAAUAGUUACAUCUAUUCUGUAGCAAUAAAAGUUAUAAAAUUCUGUCUAUUAUUAAUUUUAAUAUUAUAAAGUGUAUCGUUUAACUCUUAGCCAUUAUUUAUAAUUUAAUUGUUAAUUAUGCCUAAAAAAACGAAUUAACAACUUUGGUAUUGUUUGGAAGGUAAACAGCUUAAUUCCUUUAUGUAAAGCCACCUUAACAUGUUUUUGCAUAAUUCUGACUCACGUUGGUUGCUAUCGGGCUUAAGCCAUAAAAAUCGAAGAAAAAAAGAAGAAGACGAAGAGACUUUCACUUGUCAUUUCAAUGUCACUUUCCGGCCCACAAGCAUAAACGCCACCGGCAACGGAAGUUCCCAAAAUCCAAACAAAUGUUGGAAGAUAUUUUUAAGUCUCCGCAUCUUUCUUACUUUCCUAUAUGAAAAUAAAAUGUAAGUAUCACAAUUACACACAUACAAGUUUUUUUUUUUAAUUCAGUUUCAUAAUUACCAAUUUUUAGUGAAUAAUCCUGAAAUUUAUGAAAAUACAUACAUUUUAAGGUUAUGUCAUAAUGUUUUGAUUGUUAUAUUUGAUUUUGUUUUUGUUAUUUUAGUGGACUACACCAACAAAGGUUAUGUGUUUUGCACCAGAUUGAAAGCAUCAUAGCGAAAAACGGACCUGUCAUAUCUUUAAAUUUUCAAAAGAGCCCCUGGAAAAAGAAAAAUGAAUAUCUUUGCCAAGGAAUACUAAGGCAAAUGGAUAAAAAACCUUCAGUCCAUGCAUUGGUAUGUAAUUGUUGACAAAAAUACAAUGAAUGGCCUCACUACUUUUCCACAUGCAAAGAGGUUAACCAAGGAGAAAUUAAAGAAAUUGUCAAAAACCUAGGUAAAUACAGAAUUGCUUAGUACAAACAUAUCUAUACCGAUUUCAAGUUCGUCCACUUCUUUGGAGCAUGGUACUUCAAACAGAGACACUGUCAACAAUUUUGUAGAAGGUGAGCCGGUGUCAAAUUCCAGUAAGGGACAUGAUUUCAAUUUUGCACCAACAGCAGAGCUAAAAUUCAUUUUGCCGCAAAAAACUGGAGGAUGUGAAAGAAAAAAGUGCAGAAGUUAAAAUUAAGUUUUUCAUAUGAGCACAUAAAAAAUAAUCAUGACAAAGUUCAGUUGUAUACAGGUUUGACAUGUAAUAAAUAUUUUUGUAAUCUUA